AUUUGUGACAAUGCCACGUUGAAAGCACGACAUCUCGUCGGGUCUGUCAAGUUAAGCAACGAUGGGCCUGGUUAGUACUUGGAUCGGAGACGGCCUGGGAAUCCCAGGUGUUGUAGACA
rfam:Brugia malayi, FR3, WGS project CAPY01000000 data, contig: ctg1510391